ensembl:lncRNA
CUCCUAUAGGAGUCUAGGGGUAGGAGGACUGUUCACAAAUUGUUUCAUCGCAGUAACGGUUAAGAGGCUUUAGAGCUGGAGUCAGGCUUGUCUGGGUUCGAAUUUUGGUCUCACCCUUUUUCUGUGACCUUCAGCAGGUUCCUUCAUUUUUGAGCCUGUUUCCCUAUUUGUGUAAUGAGCUUAAAAAAACACGUUCCAGUGAACGCCUAGAACAGGCAGUCAUUAAUAUUUUUGCAAAACUCGACCAGGGCCACAAGCAGGCAUGAGUACGGAGUGGGAAGGCGAGUCCCUGCCGCUCAGCUCCUAAUCUAAACCAUUUGGACCUGGUGGACUUAAGCCGGUGAGCAUUUAUAGCCCCAUCGGCGGUCGUAGAAAACGGGUCGGGUAAAGAGCCUACGUGCCAAACGACACCCUAAAGGGUUAGCUCCUGCAGAUUCCAGAGCGCGACUCUCCCGCUCCGCUCCGCAGGCCAGAAGAUGCAAUAUCGCGAGACCUGACGGGAUCCAACGGGUUUCCAGGCCGGAAGUGGGGGGCGGACCAGAGGGGGCGCGCUCCUUUUGAAACAUGCGGAAGGGGCGUGUGGGCUGGAGGUCGCUGUCCCUUCUGCGAAUCGGUCGAGCAACGCUGGAGUGGGCAGCUGGGUCAACGGAGACCUAAAUAUGGGGUUAGGUCGGGAGCGGUCACAGCUUCAUUCAUUGGGCAGCUACCAGGGCUUGCCAUGCGCUGUGAGGCACUGUGUCGAAGCCCCUCCUUGCCUCCCCAGAGCUUUGCUCUGUCCGCUCCACACCAACCUCCAAGCGUAAAUAAAGUUCCCUCCCUUUGGCUCAGCCUUUUAAGGAGCCUUUGUGACCGCGGAGGGUGGUUUGCUCUGACACUAACCAAACUUCACCUUCUGGAGGGCCACUUGCCCAGGUCCCGUUUGUGGCCAUGGUAUGGAUCUUAGCAACGUGUUCACACGAUCAUGUUUUUAUAAACUUAGCAAAACUGGCGGUAUCAGUAUUUUAAUCCACAUCUGUUAAGACAACUGCCUCUUUCCACUGGGACUUUCCGGUCUGGGAGCAUUGAAGUAGCCAGGGGCAUCUUGGGGAGUUUUUAGGUCGGUCUUCUCUUGACUAGGGCUUGAUUGUGUCUACUUGGGCUGCCUUUGGGUUCUGGGUUGUACAGAGUCCCGAUGAGAGACUCAGUAAAGAUAAAAGGGAAACAGUUGCCUUUCUAAAGUGCCUCCAAAUCUCGGAUGGUGGCAGCCUCCUCCCUCCACCCCUCCCAUCAACGAAAGAAGGACAGCGUGUGGUGAAAGAGAACCAUCAGAAGAACUGCAGCCAUGGGUCCUCUCUCUGUGUCAGGCAAGGCUUUACUGUGAACCACUAAUGUGCCAGGUACCAUGUGUGGAGGCACUGGCCCAAAGAUGAAGAUGAGGUUUCUCUCCUUGAGAAGCGGAGUGUGGGAGACAGACAGAGUUCAGUUCAGUUCAGUUGCUCAGUCAUGUUCGGCUCUUUGCAACCCCAUGGACUACAGCACGCCAGGCCUCGCUGUCCAUCACCAACUCCUGGAGUUUACCCAAACUCAUGCCCAUUGAGUCGGUGGUGCCAUCCAACCAUUUUGCCUGCCAAAGGAUCCAGAUAAUCCUGCCUUGCCACAGUGACUGUAGAGCUGAGAAGUCUCUGGACCAAGCCAUGUGAUCUGAGAACUUGUCCACAUAGCUGAAAGUGUCCUGUCAGUGUCAUUCAGACAGUUUCAAGGACUCACUGUCACUCACUCAUCUAUUCUUUCAAGAAAAUUAUUUGUCCCCUGCACUCUAUUAGGUGCUAGAGAUACAACAGUGAGCAGAACUGAACUGGCCUUGCCUUUAUUGACUUCCUGUCUGGAGGAGGAGAUGGCCAUUAGUUGAAUAUUAUCCAAUAGGUAUACAAUGGUAAC